UACGAAGGGGGCUAGCGUUGUUCGGAUUUACUGGGCGUAAAGCGCACGUAGGCGGAUUGGUCAGUUAGGGGUGAAAUCCUGGAGCUCAACUCCAGAACUGCCUUUAAUACUGCCAGUCUCGAGUCCGGAAGAGGUAAGUGGAACUCCUAGUGUAGAGGUGGAAUUCGUAGAUAUUAGGAAGAACACCAGUGGCGAAGGCGGCUUACUGGUCCGGUACUGACGCUGAGGUGCGAAAGCGUGGGGAGCAAACAGGAUUAGAAACCC
rnacentral:rRNA from 1 species